GUAACAUCAAGAGUGGUGGAGGGACAGGCCCUAGGAAACCCGGCAACCAGCGCAGCAGUGCAUGGUGCUAAUUCCUGCAAGAGUAUCUUGAGAGAUGUAGU
rnacentral:ncRNA from 1 species